UACGGGGGGGGCAAGCGUUGUUCGGAAUUACUGGGCGUAAAGGGCUCGUAGGCGGCCAACUAAGUCAGACGUGAAAUCCCUCGGCUUAACCGGGGAACUGCGUCUGAUACUGGAUGGCUUGAGAUUGGGAGAGGGAUGCGGAAUUCCUGGUGUAGCGGUGGAAUGCGCAGAUAUCAGGAGGAACACCGGUGGCGAAGGCGGGUCUCUGGGCAGUAACUGACGCUGAGGAGCGAAAGCGUGGGGAGCGAACAGG
rnacentral:rRNA from 1 species